rnacentral:rRNA from 1 species
GAUGAACGCUGGCGGCGUGCUUAACACAUGCAAGUCGAACGGAAAGGCCCAAGCUUGCUUGGGUCCUCGAGUGGUGAACGGGUGAGUAACACGUGGGUGAUCUGCCCUGCACUUCGGGAUAAGCCUGGGUAACUGGGUAUAAUACCGGAUAGGACCUCAUUUUGGAUGGUGUGGUGGAAAGUUUUUCGGUGUGGGUUGAGGUGGGGGCCUAUCAGCUUGUUGGUGGGGUAAUGGCCUACCAAGGCGUCGACGGGUAGCCGGCCGGAGAGGGUGUACGGCCACAUUGCAACUGGGAUACGGCACACACUCCUAAGUGAUGCAGGAGGGAGGAAUAUUGCACAAUGGGCGAUGGCCUGAUGCAGCGACGCCGAGUGGGGGGUGAGGGCUUUAGGCUUGUGAACUCCAUUCGCUAGGGACGAAGCGAUUUUGUGACGGUACCUGGAGAAGAAGCACCGGCUAACUACGUG